UACGGGGGGUGCGAGCGUUGUCCGGAAUCACUGGGCGUAAAGGGCGCGUAGGUGGUUUGAUAAGGGUGUGGUGAAAGUCCGGGGCUCAACCCCGGAUCUGCCGUGCCGACUGUCAAACUCGAGGGCUGUAGAGGCAGACGGAAUUCCGGGUGUAGUGGUGGAAUGCGUAGAGAUCCGGAGGAACACCAGCGGCGAAGGCGGCAUCCUGGACUGGUCCUGACACUCAUGAGCGAAAGCGUGGGGAGCGAUCCGG
rnacentral:rRNA from 1 species